GGGCUACACAUGCAAGUCGAGCGGUAGCACAGAGAGCUUGCUCUCGGGUGACGAGCGGCGGACGGGUGAGUAAUGUCUGGGAAACUGCCUGAUGGAGGGGGAUAACUACUGGAAACGGUAGCUAAUACCGCAUAACGUCGCAAGACCAAAGUGGGGGACCUUCGGGCCUCAUGCCAUCAGAUGUGCCCAGAUGGGAUUAGCUAGUAGGUGGGGUAACGGCUCACCUAGGCGACGAUCCCUAGCUGGUCUGAGAGGAUGACCAGCCACACUGGAACUGAGACACGGUCCAGACUCCUACGGGAGGCAGCAGUGGGGAAUAUUGCACAAUGGGCGCAAGCCUGAUGCAGCCAUGCCGCGUGUGUGAAGAAGGCCUUCGGGUUGUAAAGCACUUUCAGCGGGGAGGAAGGCGAUAAGGUUAAUAACCUUAUCGAUUGACGUUACCCGCAGAAGAAGCACCGGCUAACUCCGUGCCAGCAGCCGCGGUAAUACGGAGGGUGCAAGCGUUAAUCGGAAUUACUGGGCGUAAAGCGCACGCAGGCGGUCUGUCAAGUCGGAUGUGAAAUCCCCGGGCUCAACCUGGGAACUGCAUUCGAAACUGGCAGGCUAGAGUCUUGUAGAGGGGGGUAGAAUUCCAGGUGUAGCGGUGAAAUGCGUAGAGAUCUGGAGGAAUACCGGUGGCGAAGGCGGCCCCCUGGACAAAGACUGACGCUCAGGUGCGAAAGCGUGGGGAGCAAACAGGAUUAGAUACCCUGGUAGUCCACGCCGUAAACGAUGUCGAUUUGGAGGUUGUGCCCUUGAGGCGUGGCUUCCGGAGCUAACGCGUUAAAUCGACCGCCUGGGGAGUACGGCCGCAAGGUUAAAACUCAAAUGAAUUGACGGGGGCCCGCACAAGCGGUGGAGCAUGUGGUUUAAUUCGAUGCAACGCGAAGAACCUUACCUGGUCUUGACAUCCACAGAACUUUCCAGAGAUGGAUUGGUGCCUUCGGGAACUGUGAGACAGGUGCUGCAUGGCUGUCGUCAGCUCGUGUUGUGAAAUGUUGGGUUAAGUCCCGCAACGAGCGCAACCCUUAUCCUUUGUUGCCAGCGGUUCGGCCGGGAACUCAAAGGAGACUGCCAGUGAUAAACUGGAGGAAGGUGGGGAUGACGUCAAGUCAUCAUGGCCCUUACGACCAGGGCUACACACGUGCUACAAUGGCAUAUACAAAGAGAAGCGACCUCGCGAGAGCAAGCGGACCUCAUAAAGUAUGUCGUAGUCCGGAUUGGAGUCUGCAACUCGACUCCAUGAAGUCGGAAUCGCUAGUAAUCGUAGAUCAGAAUGCUACGGUGAAUACGUUCCCGGGCCUUGUACACACCGCCCGUCACACCAUGGGAGUGGGUUGCAAAAGAAGUAGGUAGCUUAACCUUCGGGAGGGCGCUACCACUUUG
rnacentral:rRNA from 1 species